rfam:Leminorella grimontii ATCC 33999 = DSM 5078 strain ATCC 33999 GLGR.assembly.01, whole genome shotgun sequence.
UAGCGUUCGGGCAGCCGUAAAGCCUGGGGCGGUAGCGUG